rnacentral:rRNA from 1 species
UGGGGAAUAUUGGACAAUGGGCGAAAGCCUGAUCCAGCCAUGCCGCGUGAGUGAUGAAGGCCCUAGGGUUGUAAAGCUCUUUUGUGCGGGAAGAUAAUGACGGUACCGCAAGGAUAAGCCCCGGCUAACUUCGUGCCAGCAGCCGCGGUAAUACGAAGGGGGCUAGCGUUGCUCGGAAUCACUGGGCGUAAAGGGUGCGUAGGCGGUCUUGCAAGUCAGAUGUGAAAGCCCCGGGCUUAACCUGGGAAUUGCGUUUGAAACUACAAGGCUAGAGUGCAGCAGAGGGGAGUGGAAUUCCAUGUGUAGCAGUGAAAUGCGUAGAGAUGUGGAAGAACACCGAUGGCGAAGGCAGCUCCCUGGGUUGACACUGACGCUCAUGCACGAAAGCGUGGGGAGCAAACA